rnacentral:ncRNA from 1 species
AUUUGUUUAACUGUGGCAAUAGGAAGUUUUGUUUCAUUAGCUGCAUGAAGUUUGUUUUGUGGUUUUUUAGGUUAUGUUUUUUGAUUGUUUUAUCAGCAGUUUGUUUUUUGUUAAGAUGGAAGUCUUAUAAGGGUGAUGCAAUUGUAAGGGGAUAGGGCACAGUGCCAGCAUCUGCGGUUAAUCUGUUUUCUUUGCUUUUAUGUGGAUUGUGUUCAUUUAUUUAUAGUUAAUAUUAGGUUAAAUUUUUUUGCGGUUGUGUUGAGUAAAUGAAUUUUAUUAUGAUGUAUAUUGUGACAGGGAUUAGAUACCCCAUUAAUGUAUUUUGUAUAGUUGAUCUUAGUUUUAUAACUAAAAUGGUUUGGCAGUGAGCGAUUCUUGUUAGGGGAAGAUGCAUAGUAAAGGAUGGUCCACCUAUUAGUUGACUCUUAUUAUGUUGGUGUAUAUCUGGUUUAAUAUUAUUGUUGAAUGAUUUAAGAUUGUGUAUAAUUAUUUAAGCUAAGUCUAUGUGCUGCUUAUAAGAGUUUUUGUGUGUUACAUUUAUAAUGAUACUUGUUGUAAUACAGUAUAAUUUAGGACUUAAUAGUAAUGUUGAAAUGAGUUUGUCGAUGUGAAUAUAGUUUAGCUCAGGUACACACCGCCCGUCACCCUCGGUUGUUACUGAGGUAAGUCGUAACAAGGUAACUUUAGAUGAAUUUGAAGUUAAUUAUUAGGUUGUACUAAUUGAA